AAAAGCACCAAGCAAUCAGAUCUCGCAGACACCCAGUAAACAUGAGUCUUCUGCCCAUCCGAUAAUUGCCGAGCUAGCGGCACGAGUACUUGAAAUUCCCUUCAACCGGCCACCUCUUCGCCCAACAGCAUCAUCCUCCCGACUCACAUGAAGCAUAUUGUUUUCACAAUAUGCUCAUGAUCGGCGCGUGCAUUGCACUGGUCAGGUGGGCAAGUGGAAAUGAAGCUCCCACAGCUUUCUUCUUCCUUUUCCUUCCCUCCCCUGCGCCUGAGAAAAAAUUGCGCAGAACAGGAGAAACUCCCCGUUGCAGGUUGCAGGCAGCGUAAGAAACAAACAGAACGAGCCUGCUUCCCUUCCGUGCUGUACGGAUAGAUGCGAUUGACACGUGUCAAUUAUCUUUGCCUGCUUUUUAAAUCUUUUUCAAUACCGGAGACAUAAAAGAUUAAUAAGAACAAUAUCUGUGGAAUAACUCUGUUUAAAAAAUAUCCAUUCUGAAAAUUCUAUAAUUAUUUGAGGCAUUCAACCCGUACCAAAAAAGACUUGCUUCAACCCUUUUUUAUUUUGCAAAGAGAGCUUGUGAUGUGAGAAAAUGGCGAGAACUGCGAGGUGGCUGUUUCGCGAAUCCUAUGAACUCCGCUUCGCGGUUUUUCCGUCUAGACAUUGACUCGAAGUUGGAGCUUUCUGAGCUCCAAACAGAUUCCACUUUCUACUUAAUUCCGAAUUCCGAAUGUGAAUCUUAAUUGGAAAUAUUAUAUAAAGCGUUUGUUUUAAAGGGAAUACAAUUUUCCCUGACUGAUGUUUCUUUUCCUCUCGCACUGCCACUCUUGGAAGUCGUGUGAAUCUAAAACGGGCUUUUGUCUCUGGAUAUACAUCCGAAUAAUGAAACGAACAAAUGCACAUCCACAUCCUCCCCGUUGCCGGAGUUGUUACCUCCCCGAUUUGGUUCCGGCAGAUUCAUCAUCAAUGCAUGCAUAAAACACUUUCUUUUCCUCCUUCCCUCUUAAUUUCCAGAGAAUGUCUCAUAAAUUCUGAGUCAUCAAUAUAAUAAGAUACGUUUGUCGCGGGUAUUUCACGGGCCUCCUUUUCUUCUUUUGCCUUAUCCCUCCUUUUCUUCCUUCCUUGUGAUGUUCUUUUUUUUCUCCUUUUUUCUCCAUAUUUCCUCUCUCGUCUUUUGGCUUUAUCUCUCUUUGCUUUGUAAACAUUUUGCUUUAUCUCACAAAGAACCUGAUUCUCAGAACACAAGGCACGUAACUUUUCUCCCUUUCCUUUCUACCUUCUCAUCUCGUUUCAUUUGUACCUUUUUGUCUCUUAACCUUGGUUCUCUGGUCUUCACCGGUGAGAUCCUUUCGAGCUCAGCUCUUAACUCCCCGCACUGAAACAGAGCGAGAGAGACGGAUUUAUAUCCGACAGCUAAAUUUAUUUUAUCAUUCACUAAAUUUAACCAAACACCCACUUUUUCGGUCUUCUUCCCGGCGGAUAUUUCGGGAGAAACGAAACCUAUCAGUCUUUAAUGCGUCUAAACGCUGUCCUUACUCACUUCACCCUUACAUUUUCAUUUCACUUCUGAUCUUCCAACAUACAGAAGUGAGAACCUUGCUUACUCUGAUCAUUUUUCACGCCCGCUUUUGUUUUUGUUGCUGAAGAAUCUCCGACGGAUGAAUGAAAGAAAAGUAAGGAUCCGGUUUCAGCUGUGCGUUCCGAGGUGGAUUCCGACUCGUCUCUGAGCCUUCCAAGCCGUUUUCAAUUCAGUGUCAUUCUUGCUGGAAAUGGACAAACCUCGAGGCGUGAGGCGAGGAGCUAGUCGGUUCUCAACCGCCAGGUUACGCGCUAAACAAUCUGGACACAAGCUCUGCGGUGGUUUGGAUGGUAUUGAGGGAGACUUCGAAUUUCCGGUGAAAUCAAAGAAGGAGAAGGUCAGAAGCUUGAGUGCUGUUGGCAGAGCGCUAUCAAGUUGCGAAGAGUACAAAACGGGUUGCGAUGUCACUGAAAAAGUAGACGAACUUCGUGUGCAAUCACCAUCCUCGAAUACCACUGCUAAUAGCAAGAGAUUUAAAAUGCCCAAAAGAUUUUUUGAUGACUGCAAUGGCGUUGGUCACGCCUCUGUUCCGCGGAAACUACGCUCAGCCAUGAAGAAGCGCAAUCGCGAAUACAGCCUACAUGAUUCAGAAAAGGUGAACCAUAAGCUGAAUGGAAUAGAAUCUCCUGUAAAGGAUGGUAUAAAGAAAACCAAACAACAAGGAAGCCCAGACCGGUCCACGAGGCAAACAGUACCUGGCCCAAUCACUAAAGAUGAGGAAGAGGUUGUGGACACCUUGUAUGCUCUAGCUGGGAUGUUCCUUAACAACGACUCGAAUGAGAGGCUUAAAUUAGAGGGCGAUUCUUCACCGGAGAACUCAAAUUUGCGGGACUUGGAGCAGAAUCCUAAUGAUGCUUUUGAAGACUCGGGAACUGCUCGGGAUUCCCAUCCUGAUGCAGAAAGAUCAUCCGGAGAAGCAGCAAUUACAAAUUCUUCAAUUGAAAGCAAUGAUAGAAAGCAGCCUCAUUUUAGUGAGAAUGCGAAUUGAUGACAUCUGAUAACGUACUUGCUCCUAAUUUAAAUCUGGACACCAUGCCUAUGUUAACUAGGAGUGAAAAUGGCAACGAAGCUGCAUUAGUUGACUCUGAGUUAAGUCUCGCAGUGGGAUUAAGUAUGCCAAGACAAUCACCGAAAUUACGUGAUGAAAGGAAACCAGAGACGGCUGGAGCUGUUGAACCUAAACAAGCAUUUCAGGUUGGGACUGUUGAAUCGAA